AUUGAACGCUGGCGGCAUGCCUUACACAUGCAAGUCGAACGGUAACAGGUCUUCGGAUGCUGACGAGUGGCGAACGGGUGAGUAAUACAUCGGAACGUGCCUAGUAGUGGGGGAUAACUACUCGAAAGAGUGGCUAAUACCGCAUGAGAUCUACGGAUGAAAGCAGGGGAACGCAAGACCUUGUGCUACUAAACCGGCCGAUGGCAGAUUAGGGAGUUGGUGGGAUAAAAGCUUACCAAGCCGACGAUCUGUAGCUGGUCUGAGAGGACGAUCAGCCACACUGGGACUGAGACACGGCCCAGACUCCUACGGGAGGCAGCAGUGGGGAAUUUUGGACAAUGGGCGCAAGCCUGAUCCAGCAAUGCCGCGUGCAGGAUGAAGGCCUUCGGGUUGUAAACUGCUUUUGUACGGAACGAAAAGCCCUGGGUUAAUACCCUGGGGUCAUGACGGUACCGUAAGAAUAAGCACCGGCUAACUACGUGCCAGCCGCCGCGGUAAAAC
rnacentral:rRNA from 1 species